rnacentral:rRNA from 1 species
AGUGAACGCUGGCGGCAGGCCUAACACAUGCAAGUCGAGCGGCAGCGGGUCCUUCGGGAUGCCGGCGAGCGGCGGACGGGUGAGGUAUACAUCGGAAUCUGCCCUGUCGUGGGGGAUAACCUAGGGAAACUUAGGCUAAUACCGCAUACGACCUACGGGUGAAAGCGGGGGAUCGCAAGACCUCGCGCGACAGGAUGAGCCGAUGUCCGAUUAGCUAGUUGGCGGGGUAAAGGCCCACCAAGGCGACGAUCGGUAGCUGGUCUGAGAGGAUGAUCAGCCACACUGGGACUGAGACACGGCCCAGACUCCUACGGGAGGCAGCAGUGGGGAAUAUUGGACAAUGGGCGCAAGCCUGAUCCAGCCAUGCCGCGUGGGUGAAGAAGGCCUUCGGGUUGUAAAGCCCUUUUGUCCGGGAAGAAAUCGUCUGGGCUAAUACCCCGGGCGGAUGACGGUACCGGAAGAAUAAGCACCGGCUAACUUCGUG